rnacentral:rRNA from 1 species
GAUGAACGCUGGCGGCGUGCCUAAUACAUGCAAGUCGAGCGAACGGACGAGAAGCUUGCUUUUCUGAUGUUAGCGGCGGACGGGUGAGUAACACGUGGAUAACCUACCUAUAAGACUGGGAUAACUUCGGGAAACCGGAGCUAAUACCGGAUAAUAUUUUGAACCGCAUGGUUCAAAAGUGAAAGACGGUCUUGCUGUCACUUAUAGAUGGAUCCGCGCUGCAUUAGCUAGUUGGUAAGGUAACGGCUUACCAAGGCAACGAUGCAUAGCCGACCUGAGAGGGGGAUCGGCCACACUGGAACGGAGACACGGUCCAGACUCCUACGGGAGGCAGCAGUAGGGAAUCUUCCGAAAUGGGCGAAAGCCUGACGGAGCAACGCCGCGUGGGUGAUGAAGGUCUUCGGAUCGUAAAACGCUGUUAUUGGGGAAGAACAUAUGUGUAAGUAACUGUGCACAUCUUGACGGUACCUAAUCAGAAAGCCACGGCUAACUACGU